UUCACACUCAUCCUCCUUUCUCUCUCUGUCCGGGUUGAGGGUGUCAGCUGCUCACCGGCUGCGUCACCCGCCUCUCCUGGAAAUUAACUAACUUUGUUACUCUGUUGUUAUUUAAACAAUCCCUGCAGAUUUCAGCAGGGAUUGUCCAGGCCGCCCACAGCCGCUCGGCACAUGUCCGCCGGCUGUUCCUUUUGGGAAUCCUCUGAGUCUGCUCCGCUCUGGGGCGGGCUCAGCUGAGGGGGUAUCACUCUGAACAACAACAGUCAUUUAAUAUUCUCCAGGCGUCCCCGACUGCUGCUGGCAUGGCAACCAGGGGAACCAUCCCAUCUGAGACAUAUCAGCUCCCUGGCAGGAGCCGAUGGGCGGCACUCCCUGCCUCACCUCGAAACCACGUCCACUCUUAAAUCGAAUGCACGAUAUGCAUGCUAAACAGCUGCAUUUUAAGGACACACUAAGAGAAAUUUAUAAGCCAGGGAUUUCAUGAAGUUGUCCUUCAUGGGGAAUUUCUUCAUAGUUUUCAUCACACGGGGGUCCUUUCGAGCCAGCUAGCUGGGUGGGGAGGGGGAGUUAGUACAGAUUUCUGUCCAGAAGAGAUCCUCCACAUUCAGGCACACACGCACAGCCCUGGACAUGGAGGGCAACCUCCAUAUCUUCUGCUGGAAUCUCCACCUUCCUCUUCCUCUAGCACUCUCCUUCCUCAUAGGAUAACAUAGGAUAACCCUGAACUGUCACCUUACUGACACCUCACUAAUAAAUGACUCCAUCCAGGACCUGCAGCACAUACCUCAACAGCUUUAUGCUGAGUUUGAAGCUGCAGGAAUGAGAAUCAGCAGCUUGGAAUUCGAGGCCCCGGUGCAUUCUGGAAAAACAGUUGAUGGUUCCUCUCAAGAGAAGGGGAGAUUCUACCCUUAGUGAAGGACUUGAAGCACUUUUGGAUUGUAUGGAGUGAUGGAAGGAGGCAACGUGGGACUGAUGAGGAGAUGAGCUCAGUGGUGAUGAAUUGGAAGAUAAGUCAGUAAAUGUGGCUCUAGGUUUGCCAGUGAACCUACGCUUGUAUUCUCACCGGUGGUGAGGAGCUAAUGGCCAAAAGACCAGGACCAGAGGCACAAGCAGCCAAAAUGAGGGGGAUGUUUGGAGCUCUGGAGUGGGCUUCCGAGGUGGGCGGCAUGGUCAGCUGUACCUAGAAUGUCCUGCUGGGAAGAGGCCUGGGGCAGACCCAGGACGCUCUGGCAGGGGGGUAGAGGAUGAUAACUCCCAGCGGGCUUAGGGAUAUCUUUUGGGGUCUCCCCGAUGAAACAAGAGGAGAGGCAUGGUGAAGAUAAUGAUGACAGUGAUGAUGAUGAAGAUGAUGAUACCAAUGAUGAAGAUGGAGAUGAUGACAAUGAUGAUGAUGAAGAUGGAGAUAACAAUGGAGAUGACGAUGAGGACGAUGAAGAUGACUGUGACGAUGAUCAAUAGCUGUCAAUGUUUUUAAUUUUCUGAGGGACAAAGAAAUGUACAUUAUUGUGAAUCUACAUUUACAAACACAAUUAAAAUAAGGAAAAACUAAAACAAAUAAUUUCAAGUCUAAAUGAUUGCUAAGAAAAUACUGGCUUGUAUCUUAUCCAGGAGGCUCCCUGGAAAGAACCGGAUGAGCAUGGAGAUUCCUGUAGAAGCUUCAAGGAGAUUAGAUGGGGCUCAGAGCUGGGUCGCGGAGUCAGCCACCAGCGGCUGCUUCUCUGGUGCGCUACCUGCGGUUCUCAGUCCCUCAGCCGCGAGCUGGAACUCAUGGAGUUUCACUUCGCAUCAUUAAAACUUUCCACCCCAUCUUAGGGGCGACCCUGAGCUGCCAACGGCAUUUCAGGGGCUCUGAAAACCCCUCGCUUUUUCUGCAGGCACAGAUAAGACGGCCUUCCCUCUGGGGCUCCCCAGGGGCCACGUGAAGUCCGCUUGUUAAUCAUUACACGGUACAUUUGGAAGUCAUUCCGUUAAUUGCGGGAGGUUUGUGAGUCUGUGCGCGCAGGGAUGUAUUAAAAAGAGAUACUCGUUAAAGAGCCAUUACAGAAGCCUGAGACUUAUCCAGAAAGAGAACCUCCUGGCGGAUGGGCCAACAGCCACGUAUUAGCAGUGUUGUGGGAGGCUUCUGUACAUAAAUAUUGUGGAUAAUACAGCGAGGAAGGCCCAACCCGGAUGUGCCGUGGAAUAUAUCCGCGCGUGUGAUUGUGCGGUUAAGGUGGGCCCCAGCCACGGGGCGUGGAGGCCUGACGGGCCCCGUCUGGGCUGCUGAGGGCCAGCUGGCGGGAACAGGAAACGGAAACCACAUCUGAGAGCUCUGUCUCGGAGGAGAGGCCGCUGAUUAAGUCCGAGCCCUGCUCCUCUCCAGCACGCCUUUGCUGUGGGUUUGUUCCAGGACAGGUGUCUCUGGAAGAUGACAGCCGGCUCUUGUACUGCAUUCAUUAUUGAUUUUCUAGAACCUUCUACCGUCAGUCACAUGCUUGCUUGUAUAAUUUAUGUGACACAUGCUGUAAUAGGUUUCUUUAUUAAGAUGUGACAUGGAUCCCCUGGCCCAGUUCAUUCUUGGCCUGAAUCUUUACUCCCAAUGGCGUAGCCAAAGAACCGGUCCAGCAUACUGAUCCCGACCCCCGAUCCGGACUUCAGGGCCAACAGAAACAGAUGCGAGUGCCUUGGGCCACGUUCGACCACGGGAGUCAUUUGCGGUGCCAAUGAGGAGUCACUCAGAGUCGCUAGACGGCUUAGGGUGGGAGUAGCUGGCCAGGUGACUGGGAGUAAAGCCUCUGGGCUUCCGUCCCUUUGUUUAAUCACAGUGUCAUCGGCCUGUUUUUCCCAAAAAACUAUGCACUAAUACACCCCCACUGGUUUGGGGGGUGGGAGGCAUGUUAAAACGCAGCCACUCCUGAGCCUGGUCCCCCCCAUGGGAAACGGGGGGUACAGGCCUAAGCUAAGCCAACUGCCCCUGUGUGUCCCCUGGAGGGGGGGGUAAUGUUCGGUGACAUGCUGCUCUUGUUUGUUCAGCUUCCCCGCACUGGACGUCUUGGGGGUCCUUUUAGGGGGGCUUUCGACCUCUGCCGACAUGUGUCAUUUCUACGGGGGUUCUGGGAAAGUACCAUUUGUGUCUGUGUGUGUGUGUGUGUGUGUGUACACAGCAGGACUAUGACAGGAAGUACAGCCUCCUGAUGACAGAACUUGGCCGUAGUUACAGCAUUGAACAAAAGCUUAAAUGUUAUCAGCUUUGAAUACUGAAAUACUGAAAGUACACCUGAGUAACAUAUUGUACUGUUGCCAUCCACUCUGUCGCAUCACAUUAUCAUUCUGAAAGUCAGUAUUAUGUCCCCAGAUGGAGGGAAUUAGAGCGACAGCAGUCAGUCUGACCUAUACACUGUUACAUAUCAAUGUCUGGGUCAGAACAUGGUCACUUCCACAGUGACUGGGUUCUGGGUCCAGCAGGCCUGGUGGAGGUCCAGCCUGGGCUGCCUGAGGAGGCUCUUCUUCAGUGUUACAGCAGGGAGACUGCUCACAUUUUAACACGGUUUGGCGGUGACUCGUUUUGCUUUAAAAAGCAGGUCAUUUCUAAUAUAGGCCUUUCGACACAAGGACGAUAAUCAUUUACAGUGUGUUACGAAGCCUUCGCUGUUUACAGAGCUCAUUGACAUUUUUGUUUAACACUGGGUUAGAUUUUUAUUAAAGCUUAAGAGCGGUGGAUGUCGCAAGUUUUUUUGCUAUGCAGCUGCUUCUAGUUCAGUACAAUUUGUACAACAUCUGUGUCGAGUUCACCUUACACGGAUAUGUUUGUUACGUUUUUGUUUUCAAAGUAAAUACGUCUCUUUAAUGGGAACAAUUUGUGUUUUGGAUGGUGGAGCUCAGGCCCCCAGUGCCCUUGUUUUCCUAUACGUCUGGUUGAAGGGGCUUCUCGAGUGGCUGGUUUUUAAUUGUUUUCAGUUAGAAAAUGGUAAACAGCUGGACUGCAGCCCAUACACAGACCAUCCAUACUCAUUUAUAUCCCUGUGAGUUAUGGCAAGAAAAACUGUUUAAGACACUUACCUUAACGUCACCCACACCCCUCACAAGCACACUUGACUGACAGACACUGGCCCUCUGUUGACAACAUGGGUUAAACUGUGAAGAGUGUAGAUUUUAUGCCGUUCUGUUCUAUAGGCCUCAGGGUGUACCAGUCUGAGCAGAACCAUGAUGAAGCACAUGCUAAGGAGACACCAAGGACAUGCUACGGAGACUCUAAGUACAGGCUAUGGAAACGCUAAAGACAUGCUAAGGAGAUGCUAAGAACACGCUAAGGAGACAUUAAGGACAUGCUAAGGAGAUGCUAAAGACACGCUAAGGAGACGCUAAGAACAAUGCAAGGAGACGCUAAGAACAAUGCAAGGAGACGCUAAAAACAUGCUAAGGACAUGCUAAGGACACGCUAAGGAGACGCUAAAGACACGCUAAGGAGACACUAACGACACGCUAAGGAGACGCUAAGAACAUGCUAACGAGACGCUAAGAACAUGCUAAGGAGACGCUAAGAACAUGCUAAGGAGACGCUAAGAACAUGCUAAGGAGACGCUAAAGACAUGCUAAGGAGACACUAAGAACAUGCUAAGGAGACAUUGACAUGUUAAGGAGACGCUAAGGACAUUCUAAGAGACACUGCUGCUUCAGCCCUACGAUGGCUCCCAAGUGUCCUGCAUCUUCUAAGCCUUCUGGCAGUAGUGAGCCUAAUCGCCAGAGGAAGACCUUGACCAUUCAGGAGAAGGUAAAACUCCUGGACAUACUUCGAACAAUGCGCUGUAAUGCCUGCGAUUCAGAAGCCCUGCGGGGGAAAUGGGGCCUGUCUGUGCAGCUUGGAAUGGCAGCCAAGCCCCAGGCCAUGACGCACCACGGCAAGCACGAGGAUGAAGAUGAAGACAAGGAUGAGGGACCGUUUACUCUCUGCGUCUGCAGUGGGCACCAGAGGGGUCCAGUCGCCCUCCCGCUUCCUCCACACUUCCCUGAGAAGAAGGAUGCCCCCCCCCCCCCCGGGUUCCCUGUGCAUUUUCUCCAUGGCUGAAAAAUGCAGGAAAUUGGGGGGAGGAGCGAAACAAGCAGACAAGCCGAACCAGAGUGAGAAAGGACAGCAUGUGAAGACUUAAGGACAGAGGACCAGGCUGAAGACUAAACUGAAGAUCAGGCUGAGGACCUGUAUGAAGAUCAGGCUGAGGACCUGUAUGAAGAUCAGGCUGAGGACCUGUAUGAAGAUCAGGCUGAGGACCAAGACUUACAGAGCAAACCUACAGCAAUGAGAGGGACAUUUUAGCUGUCGGUGGCCAGCAGGGGGUGCCUGGUGGACCUGAUGGGAGCAAGGACAGGUCUGCAUCCUGUUUGUUAUUGGGAGGGAGCUACCAGGGGGAGGGACGACACUUUAAACACCCCUCACCGCUUUCUGAAGAAGUACGGAUUCAUUUCCACUCCCCUACCCCCCCAAGCCUGGUGAGACAAGUCCACAGCAGAUGCGGCUCCUAUAAACAAAGUCGGGGAGUGUGCCCCCCCCAGCCUGUUUCUGACCCCAGUGCCCCAUAAGGGUCCUCCUCCGCCUGCUGUGGGCACUGGCUGUGGGAUGGGGAUCUAGUGUGGAGUGGAUGGCGGGUGACCAGGCGUCCAUCUACAUGGGUCAGAGCCCCCCCCCCCCCCACACACCAAUCCCCAGCUGCAGCGCUCAGAAGACUCUGUCAUCCAAACACGCGGCAGAUAAAACGGCCAGUGUUUAUUAUAAGAUGGGGAGCAGGGGGGCGGGAGCUUGGGCUCGUGGGGGCCGUCCGGAGCAGGUGGUACGUGCAGAUGUGGCGGAGGGGGAGCGGGGAGAGAAGGGCCAUGGGACAGGAUGCGGGGGUGCUGGGGGAGGACUGGUGUGCCUGAGCCCUGGCCGGGGCCAAGCCCAGCACUGCCCGCUUCCCUUUACACCCUGAGCAUAGGUAGGGGGAAGAUGGCACAAACGUCAGGAAGCCAGUGAGAAGCGCAGAUGGAGAGCCUCAGAAGAGUGUCACCUGACAGACACGCUUCGCCGUGCCUGCGCCCUGUUUCUGAAGCAGCCACUGACAACAAAAUAGCAUGGAAAAAUGGGACCAACAUAUCAAAGCCAGUAGCAGGACAGCGCUUCAUUCCGGCAGGAGGAGAAUAGGGGCCGCGCCCCAGAGCUGGCCCCUACCUCGGGCUGGGAAAGCGCGCCAAAGCUGAGGCACCGAGCCCCACAUCUGCAGCGGCAAGCUGAUUAUCUUCCUGAAGAAUGUGUAAUGUCUUUCUUUCCUCUGGGAUGCUCAGUCUUUUUUGUGUGCAUCCCCCACUCACCCUCCCAAAAGAAAACUCAAAGAAGAGCAGUUGUCGCCACCAGGUGGCCAUGUCGGGGAAUUGCAUGCUAAAGUAACGUGAAUCAAAUCUACCUAUGGAUACAAAUAAAGUGCCCUGAACCUGAACCUGAUUUCCUGGGUCUCUUCAGUGUGGUAGGUGGCACGUAUUGGAAAACGCUGACAUGUUCUCCAUCUAUAAAGUGAUUACUGUGCUGUUCCAG